GACGAACGCUGGCGGCGUGCCUAACACAUGCAAGUCGAGCGGGGAUAUUAGCAAUAGUAUCCUAGCGGCGGACGGGUGAGUAACGCGUGGGCAACCUGCCUUUCACAGGGGGAUAACACAGGGAAACUUAUGCUAAUACCGCAUGAAAUCAUGGAAGGACAUCCUUCAAUGAUCAAAGGAGCAAUCCGGUGGAAGAUGGGCCCGCGUCCGAUUAGCUAGUUGGCGGUGUAACGGACCACCAAGGCGACGAUCGGUAGCCGAACUGAGAGGUUGAUCGGCCACAUUGGGACUGAGACACGGCCCAGACUCCUACGGGAGGCAGCAGUGGGGAAUAUUGCGCAAUGGGGGGAACCCUGACGCAGCAACGCCGCGUGAAGGAUGAAGGUUUUCGGAUCGUAAACUUCUUUGACGGGGGACGAACAAUGACGGUACCCCGAAAACAAGCCACGGCUAACUACGUGCCAGCAGCCGCCGUAA
rnacentral:rRNA from 1 species